UGGGGAAUAUUGGACAAUGGGCGCAAGCCUGAUCCAGCCAUGCCGCGUGAGUGAUGAAGGUCUUAGGAUUGUAAAGCUCUUCACCGGAGAAGAUAAUGACGGUAUCCGGAGAAGAAGCCCCGGCUAACUUCGUGCCAGCAGCCGCGGUAAUACGAAGGGGGCUAGCGUUGUUCGGAAUUACUGGGCGUAAAGCGCACGUAGGCGGAUAUUUAAGUCAGGGUGAAAUCCCAGAGCUCAACUCUGGAACUGCCUUUGAUACUGGGUAUCUUGAGUAUGGAAGAGGUAAGUGGAAUUGCGAGUGUAGAGGUGAAAUUCGUAGAUAUUCGCAGGAACACCAGUGGCGAAGGCGGCUUACUGGUCCAUUACUGACGCUGAGGUGCGAAAGCGUGGGGAGCAAACAGGAUUAGAUACCC
rnacentral:rRNA from 1 species